UACGUAGGGGGCAAGCGUUGUCCGGAAUUAUUGGGCGUAAAGAGCGCGUAGGCGGUCCGGUAAGUCGGUUGUGAAAGUCGGGGGCUCAACCCUCGGAUGCCGAUCGAUACUGGCUCGCUAGAGUGCGGUAGAGGAGAGUGGAAUUCCCGGUGUAGCAGUGAAAUGCGUAGAGAUCGGGAGGAACAUCAGUUGCGAAGGCGGCUCUCUGGACCAGCACUGACACUGAGGCACGAAAGCGUGGGGAGCAAACAGG
rnacentral:rRNA from 1 species